GAUAACGAGGCCACAAUAGAAAACCAACAUCUGCAAAACCUUUGUCUUAUAUCACUUAGUUUCUCCCUAAAACUCUUUUUCUAUGGAUCAGAGACUUCAACAAGCUGCUGAAUCUGGAAGCAUCGAUGAGUUGUAUGCUCUUAUUGAUGAGAAUCCAUACAUACUUGAUCACUUUGAUGCGGUGCCAUUUGUGAACACUCCCCUCCACGUAGCUGCAGCUGCCGGGAAGAAACAAUUUGCCAUGGAGAUGCUGAAUCUUAAACCCUCUUUUGCCAGAAAGCUGAACACAAGCGGCUACAGUCCAUUGCAUCUCGCUGUGGAUAAUGAUCAAAGAGGCUUUGUCUCCAGGAUGCUUUGGCUUGAUCACAGCCUUGCCCGUGUUAAAGGGAGAAAUGGCAUCACACCGUUUCUUUCCCUAGUUUUAAGAGGAAACGCAGAUCUUGUGGCAGAGUGCCUCCUAACUUCCCCUGAAUGUAUCGAAGAUGUGAAUGUGAAUGGCCAAAAUGCACUGCAUCUAGCUGUGAUAAAUGACAGAUUUGAAGUUCUCCAAGUCCUCACGGGAUGGAUCCAGAGAAUGAGCCAAAAAAAUGCUGACUCGAUCGAGAUUCUUGUUCUGAAUAAAAGGGAUUUCGGCUACAACACAGCCUUGCACUUUGCAGCUUAUAAGAAUGAUCAUCAGGUAGUUAAACUUUUACUAGAAUGCCGGUUGGUGCAGCGGAACAAAGUCAAUGGUGCCGGUUUAACAUUCCUUGAUAUCUUAAGAAAUCAGGGACAGAGAGCUGCAGGGGCAGAGUUGAGAAGCCAGGGACAGAGAGCCGCAGGUGGAGAGUUAAGAAGCCAGGGACAGAGACCCGUAGCCGUGGGUGUGGACUUGGAUUUGGAACAAGUUGUUGUAAAAACCGGGUGUAAAGAGGCAGCUUCAGUGCGAAAAUCCAAAGCAAGGUCUGAAUUUUUGAAAUCACCAUUCACUUUCGUGACAUACUGCUCCACGAGCAUGAGACGCCUAAGGUCUAAAACUUCUGAUGAAGCUCGGGGAGUGUUCCUGAUUGUAUGCGCUUUGAUAACAACAGCCACUUAUCAGACUGCCCUCCAGCCUCCCGGAGGUGUACACCAAUCUGAGGACGCGAAUGCGGGUUCUGUGGUGAUGAAACAUGCAUUCUUCAUCCUUCUUUGGGUUUCCAACACCGUAGGUUUCUGCUGCGCUUUAUUCUACACCUUUUGUCUCAUACCACUUGGUAGUAUGUUUGCUACGUGGUUCUUUUGGACUGGGACAUCUCUGUGCAUUUCUUAUGCACUAGCAAUGGCAGUAAUCUCACCACAUCCUCUAGUGUUUCUUUCAGCCACCGUUGCCUUCUUCGUGCUUUUUGCUCUCUUUCUCUUGUUGGAUGCUUUCGUAACUGGUUGGCGGAACCAUGAGACGGUGGCACCUAAGCCCAGAUUGAGCUGGUUUUGGAAGGUUUGAUACAACACUACUAUAACAGAGGAGAAGGCUUUGAGAAUGCAAACGAUUUAAACCUUCAACACAUGACACAUCUCUCUUAUGUUUAUCUGAUACUUAAAAUCGAUCCAGACGUUGACUGAAUGAGGAUAUAUAGAGAACGAGAAAACAUGAAGCAGCUUACAAGCAGCCGGCCAAAG